UGGCUCCCCGGGCCGCCCUGGCCGCGGGGAUUAGGGUUCGAUUCUGGCUCAGGAUGAACGCUGGCGGCGUGCUUAACACAUGCAAGUCGAACGAACCUUCGGGUUAGUGGCGGACGGGUGAGUAACGCGUGAGAAUCUGCCCUCAGGAGGGGGAUAACGGUUGGAAACGACCGCUAAUACCCCAUAUGCCGCGAGGUGAAAUGAAUUUCGCCUGAGGAUGAGCUCGCGUCUGAUUAGUUAGUUGGUGGGGUAAAGGCCUACCAAGACAUCGAUCAGUAGCUGGUCUGAGAGGAUGAUCAGCCACACUGGGACUGAGACACGGCCCAGACUCCUACGGGAGGCAGCAGUGGGGAAUUUUCCGCAAUGGGCGAAAGCCUGACGGAGCAACGCCGCGUGAGGGAUGAAGGCCUCUGGGCUGUAAACCUCUUUUAUCAAGGAAGAAGAUCUGACGGUACUUGAUGAAUAAGCCACGGCUAAUUCCGUGC
rnacentral:rRNA from 1 species